rnacentral:snoRNA from 1 species
AUGCCCAAUGAUUAUAACAAGACGCGUUAUUACGAGGAUGAACACUGGAGCUCCCCUUCUACCUUUCUGCUGUUCACUCCCCCCCCCCAAGUUAUCUAUCUUUGCCUUUAUUCCUCGUGCUUCUCCCCCCCCCCUUUUCUUGGAGUUUCACUCCUCUUCCUCCUUGGGAGUUUCCAGUGUCCUAUGAGCAAGAUUAUGAGAUAUGAGGGCAU